CUAUAUUAUAAAGCCUGUUGCGUAAAUCCCUUUAGAAUGACUACUUCACCCACACUAUAACUCAUCUAAUUACAAAUACGCCACUGAAGUAUACGUUCAAUCGUUCCAAACCGUUGAUUACUCGCACGUGUCGCUCAUCGGUCUUUCCGUAUCUGUAUCAGCUCAAAUCAAGUUUCUACUCUAAACAUCUACUUUCAAAAAAUCAGACUCAUCGGCUCAUCUGUUUUAGGGUAAAGCUUCAUCUCCUUCAAAUUUUGUUCGAUUUACAUUGCAACUGCGGCAGAUUCGUAAUUGAUGGAUUCUUUGGAACGGAGUAAUCUUCAUUCGCCGGCUCCGGAGUUGAAACGGAGUACUCUCAAAUCGUCGCCUCCACAGUUGGGUAUGCAAUACCCUUUGGACUGAAUUCUAAAUAUGCUCAUCCAGAUGAGAUACUGUUUCUUGGUUUUGCUACUAUUACUGGUCCUGCCAUCACUGGACCCCAUUUGAUCACUCUGUGGUUGUGGAUGUAGUGAGAGUCCUCGAAACUGCUGAAGCACAUUGUGGUUACCAUUUCUCCUGGAGCAUUUCAAACUUCUUGCCCUUAUAUGGGGGAGCUGAUUUCCAUGACUAUCAUCACCGUCAGCUCUAUACCAAGUCUGGCAACUAUUCAUCUACUUUUGUUUACAUGGAGUGAAAAGUAGCGUUCUGCAUGAUGGUAAGACACCGAUAAAAUCCGCGGCUGAAGGAGUGGAGUUCUGGCAAUCAAUCUGAUUACCAUGUUAUUUUCACUUGAUGAAAUCAAGAAAUCAAGGGCAAGCUUGGAGUGAAAAGUAGCGUUCUGCAAGAUAAUAAGAUGCCAAUAAGAUCCGGGACUGAAUGAGUGGAGUUCUGGCAAUGAAUCUAACUACCAUGUCAUUUUCACUUGAUGAAAUCAAGAAAGCAAGGCCAAGCUUGGAGUGAUACGACCUUUCAGAAGAGUUAUUGUAUAUUAUAUAAUCUACAUGGAUGCAACAAGCUAGAAGUCGAGAAAUGGAGAUGUUAUUGCAUUGGUCUUGCUCACUAGGAACAUUGGUGGCUACAGAUCAGUGGCUGAUAUGGCUGAUGCUUCUAGAGCCGUGAAGCAAUGGGGGAAGUCAAUUUAAUUUCUUACACGUCUCAGUUCCAGAAUUAAAUGGAAUAGAACGUUCGAACCUGAUUCAGUUCGUCUACAAGGCGUAGGAAAUCAUCAAGAGAAAGAGAGAAUAUGCAGCUAUUUUUCUCACUAGCAGAUUAUUAAAGACAGUGAGGAUAUAGAGGCCAUGAGGCCAUGGCUCAGUACAUUUAUGACACGCUGGACAACUCGAGCAUGACUAUAUAUCAAAUAUGACCAGACCAAUGAUCAUAUUGCUGCUAUUUUUUGUCCUUUAUGUUGAACUCUUUGUAGAAUCCCCUGUUAUGAUCAAUGUGCUGCUAUUUAUCAGUCAUUCUACAUUUAUGAAGGGAGAUUAAACCAGCUUUGAGAUUCAACCUUCAUUUGGUGGGGAGACUUUAGCACUUUAUCCUAUGUCAAAUACACAACUAUGGACGAGUAUCUCAAUAAAUUUGUCUAAACCAAAUCUAUUUUGUCUACUAAAUGAAGCAUAAUACUACCUUUGUACUGAACUUAUAUAGUUUUUCUACCUGUGAUAUGUCGAGUACUUCAUUGGUUUGGGUUCGUUUCUUGCGACUGUUUAACACUGCAGAGCUUUAGAGUAUGCCCUUUUGUUAAAUAAAAUUAUGAUUAUGGGAUUAUCUUUCCGCCAAUGCUUAGUACUAUGUAUUUGAUUGUUGUGGUGAGCUCCUACAUGCAGCAUGAUGUAUGAAGUUCUUAUUCAUGAUAUUAUUGCACUUAUUUCUCUUUUUAUUUGGGUCAUAUAAGCUUUGUUUCUUUGCAGAGAUUUGAGCUUUAACAGGCUAUUUGGACAAAUCCCAUAUUCAAUUCAGCCGCUAGAGUCCAGAGUAAACUGUUGGCUAUCACAAUCAACGCCGUUAAAUUAUUGCUUUCAUCGUGUAAAUUUGUUUAUUUAGACAGAAAAUAAAUGUACUCACUGGAGUAAUCUUUAGUGGGAGACAAAUACAAACGUAUCUCAGGACUUAUGUCUCUUAAAUGAAAUAUUGUAUUGCUUUGGGUUUUGAAAUUGUUUUCAUAGUUAGUGUAAUAUUCACUUAU